UCUUGCUGCAGUUGGGAGAUUUUUAAAAUGUUCCAUAUGUGGAAGUUUAUGUACAACUGACACUGUGCCAUAAUGAUGUGUAGUGAGCCUGGAACAUCUAAAUAAUGAUAUUAAUUUGCAUGAUCCUCCAUAGGGUGUGCCAGGACAUCAGCAAUGACUGCAGUGAGAAAGCCUGUCUCUGAAUUUAUUGGAAAAUGACCCAUUUUGUUCAAGAGCUAUUCACUUCUACCUGACUGAAAGACAGAGAGAUGGCAUGACUGAAAGACCUCCCACCAGUCUGGGGAAACGAGGCUGAAAUACUAUGACACAUGUACAGGUGACACAGUUUUAGUGACAGAAGGAAUACUGGACACUCCUGCAGGUUGGAGCCAGCCAACCCCGUGUGCCAAGGGAGCUGCUCAGGACAGCUAUUUCCUUGGACAGGCCACAUGGAGGUGAAACUUUCAGAGGGUAAGGACUGUAAAACCAGCAAUAACAAGUGUUUCUGUCUCUGCUGUGGAUAAAGGGGUGCAGAAAUCUCUAGUAGCAAUGCAGGGAUGAAGAGGGGCUGGAAGAUUCUAAUUGCACUUGGAAGUGAGUAACAGAGAGUGUAAAUUUAAAAGAAAAUAGUUCAGAGUGUCUGUGCAGAAGAAGCCAGGACAGCAGGACUGGAGCAGCCCCUCUUCAUCUAAAGAGCUGCAGAUGGGUGAUCCCAGUGGGAUGCUGAACAGAGUGACAGAAUUAGGGUUCAGAGUUGUCAAAGUUCCUUU
rnacentral:lncRNA from 1 species